rnacentral:sRNA from 1 species
CCACCCGGUCUUGCUUAUUGCCGGGCUUGUGGUAGCUUCACCAAAAGCUGACCCAAUGAUCAAAACCCCGCCUUCGGGCGGGGUUUUGCUUUAUC